rnacentral:rRNA from 1 species
AGAGUUUGAUCCUGGCUCAGGAUGAACGCUAGCGGCAGGCCUAAUACAUGCAAGUCGAACGCUCAGUAGCAAUACUGGGAGUGGCGCACGGGUGCGUAACGCGUACACAAUCUACCUCUAAGCGGGGGACACCUCCUGGAAACGGGGAUUAAUACCGCAUAAUAUGCCGAGGUCGCAUGACUUUGGUAUUAAAGCAGCAAUGCACUUAGAGAUGAGUGUGCGUCCCAUUAGGUAGUUGGUGAGGUAACGGCUCACCAAGCCUAUGAUGGGUAGCCGGUCUGAGAGGAUGGUCGGCCACACGGGCACUGAGACACGGGCCCGACUCCUACGGGAGGCAGCGGUAAGGAAUAUUGGUCAAUGGUGGAAACACUGAACCAGCCAUGCCGCGUGGAGGAAUAAGGUCCUACGGAUUGUAAACUCCUUUUGACGAGGAAGAAAGUGUUAGAUUUAUCUAAUUUUGACGGUACUCGUAGAAUAAGCACCGGCUAACUCCGUG